rnacentral:rRNA from 1 species
ACGCUCGACACCUACGGGAGGCAGCAGUAGGGAAUCUUCCACAAUGGACGCAAGUCUGAUGGAGCAACGCCGCGUGAGUGAAGAAGGUCUUCGGAUCGUAAAACUCUGUUGUUAGAGAAGAACACGAGUGAGAGUAACUGUUCAUUCGAUGACGGUAUCUAACCAGCAAGUCACGGCUAACUACGUGCAAGCAGCCGCGGUAAUCUGGAGCGGGCUGGCAAGGC